UGGGGAAUAUUGCACAAUGGGCGCAAGCCUGAUGCAGCCAUGCCGCGUGUGUGAAGAAGGCCUUCGGGUUGUAAAGCACUUUCAGCGAGGAGGAAGGUGGUGAGCUUAAUACGCUCAUCAAUUGACGUUACUCGCAGAAGAAGCACCGGCUAACUCCGUGCCAGCAGCCGCGGUAAUACGGAGGGUGUAAGCGUUAAUCGGAAUUACUGGGCGUAAAGCGCACGCAGGCGGUUUGUUAAGUCAGAUGUGAAAUCCCCGGGCUCAACCUGGGAACUGCAUUUGAAACUGGCAAGCUAGAGUCUCGUAGAGGGGGGUAGAAUUCCAGGUGUAGCGGUGAAAUGCGUAGAGAUCUGGAGGAAUACCGGUGGCGAAGGCGGCCCCCUGGACGAAGACUGACGCUCAGGUGCGAAAAGCGUGGGGCAGCAAACAGGAUUAGAUACCCUGGUAGUCCAGCGCUGUAAAACGAUGUCGAUUUGGAGGUUGUGCCCUUGAGGCGUGGCUUCCGGAGCUAACGCGUUAAAUCGACCGCCUGGGGAGUACGGCCGCAAGGUUAAAACUCAAAGGAAUUGACGGGGUCAUAGCUGUUUCCU
rnacentral:rRNA from 1 species